rnacentral:tRNA from 1 species
CGGGGCGUAGCGCAGUUUGGAAGCGCACUUGGUUUGGGACCAAGGGGUCGUGGGUUCAAAUCCCUCCGCCCCGACCA